rnacentral:lncRNA from 1 species
AAACGGAAAAUAUCCCCCAGUAUGGGCUCUGAAUGCCGAUACUGAGAAAAUAAUAGCUCUAGAAGCCAAAUCAAAAAGCUAACUCUAAACACUAAACUAGAAGAAUAAUGGCUCUAGAAGCCAAACCAAAAAGCUAACUCUAAAUGCUAAACUGAGAAAAAUAAUAGCUCUGAAAGACAAACUAAGAAGCUAACUCUAAACAC